GGGGGGGGCCGCGUUCCCGCUUCACGCCCGGAAACGCAGCGCUGCCUCCAGGCGGACGGCCGCGAGGUGGGAGUGAGGGCGUCGGUACGGGGAGCCUCGAGCUGGGCUUGGAGCACCGGCGAGUCCUUCUGACGGCCGUCGUGUGGUGUUAGCGACUGUCAGUGCCCCGGCAGAAAGGGUACUCGUCAGUGUGAAGGCGCACGCGGAAGAUUUGUUUGAAACCUUACCUCAACGACCCCUUUUUUUUCGCCAAAAUAAAAUAAUACUCAUAAAUCUUAUAACGCGUGAGGGAGGAUGGGUUACAAAUGAGCCCUUCCGUAGACGGUGACGCUGAAGUACAAAGAAACCGAACGCUGUGGCCAAGGGAGGGAGCGCUUCCCACUGCAGCAGCUUCCAGUUCUGUGCCUCAUCCUCUGCCUUUCACAAAAUUCAACCACAGAGGCGCAGCAUCACAGGGAUGGGUUGCCUUGUGUUGGGAUGUUAAAGAUCUCUGAGCUCCAACCAGAUCAGGCUGCCCACAGCCCCAUCCCACCUGGCUUUGAACAUCUCCAGGGAUGGGGCAUCCAAGGCUGCAUCUGGCCCUAGCUUUCACAGUUUAUCGUCCCAUACGCACAUCUUCUUUUAUUAAGCAGUCAUCCAUAGGGACCCCAACGGUCUGGAGUGGGAUGACAGGAAUCUCAUGGAGUUCAAUAAGGAGAAGUGCAGAGUCCUGAAUCCAGACAGGAGAAGUUCCUGGAACCAGGACAUGCUGGGACCACACAGCUGGAAAGCAGCUCUGCAAGGAAGGACCUGUGGUUGUGGUGGAGACCACUCUGGACACAAGUCAGCACUGUACCCUUGCCACAAAGAAGGCUAAAGUAUUCUUGCCUGCAGUAGGUAAAGCAGCAGAUUGAGGGAGGUGAUCCUUCCCCCUCUUCUCAGUGCUGCUAAGGCUGAAUCUGGAGAACUACUGGGACCCCAGUAGAAGAGAGACCUGGGCAUACUGGAAACAGGCCAAUGGAGGGUCACCAAGUACCUCUCUAGUGAGAAGAGGCUGAGAGGGCUGAAGCUGUUCAGGCUGGAGAAGAGGAGACUAAGGGGGAUCUCAUCAGUGUCAGUAAAUACCUGAAGGGAUGAUGCCAAGAGAAUGGAGCCAGGCUCCCUUCAGGAGUGCUAAGUGCCAGAACAAGCAGCAGCGGGCACAAACUGGAACACAGUUCAGUUCAGAGUUCCUUCUGAACACCAUGCAGCACUUCUGUGCUGUGUGGUUGCCGGAGUAGUGGCAUAGGCUGCCCAGAGGCUGUGGAUUCUCCUCCCUGGAGGCCUCCAAAAGCUGCCUGGCUGCGGGCCUGGGCACCCUGCUCUGUGGCUCUAGAUGAUGAGGGGUUGGGCCAAAAGGACACAGAGGACCCUGCCAGCCUCAGCCAUCCUGUGAGUCUACGCUCUUAAGUUUUGCAACUAUAAUUCUUGUUGUGAGGUUAACCUUUUUUGUUUCCUUACUGGUAAUCUACACCAAACAUUCCAAAGUAGACAACCACAGAAAUCACGACAUUAUACUGGUUCCUUAAUCAAUUUGUAGCUGGCAAUCACAACUGGCUUUUCCAGUUGUGAUUAAUUACCCAUAAAAAUAUAUAAAUAUGUCAUUUUUAAUAUUCUGCUUUUCCACUGGCUUCCUUAAUAUAUCUUGGCAAUGCAUUUUAU
ensembl:lncRNA